AUUAUCCUUUCUAGCAAGUAUUUUGAAUCAUAUUUUCCGAUUUUUACUUCUAACUAUGUCAGGAUUGGAAGACUUGAGGUUCUGAGUGGAUCCGAAGUGUUACCUUAGAUUGAUGAUGUGAACGCUGUAUUAAAAUCCCUAGACUACAUGAACGGAGCAGGAGGGGGCCGGGGAUUGGUCCUAAAAUUGUUCUCUAUGACGGACUCGAUGUCUCUCGCAGAGAUUAUACUGAGGACGAGCUAUGAUGGUUGUUGCCGAUUCAUCUCUUGAAACUUAGUCCUCUGUUCAAAGGACGAGUCGUUGCCAAAACACAUUGCUGAGAGUUCAGAUUGAAACUCCGUUUAAACUUUUACAAGGACGAGCUAUGAUGGUUGCUGUCGAUUCAUCUCUUUAUACUUAGUUCUCUGUCAAAGGAUGAGUCGUUGUCAAAUCACAAUGCUGAGAGUCCAGAUUGAAUCUCUGUUAAAAGGAAUCUGGAAACAUCUGGAUUCUCGAGAUUUUGAUCAUUUUUAAGGCCGCCUGGACAUUUUUGUCUAUCUUGUGGACACUGAGUUAGUAAGGAAUUUAACUUUAGUCCUAGCGUAACGUCCAGCGAGAAAGUGUUCAACAGGUGAUCAUUUUUGGUAAAUUAUUCAAGAAAAUAAAAAUUCCAUGAUGAAUUA